GUUGCCGUGGCGACGGUGGCCUCCGCACCAGGAAGAACUCCUCCCCUUCCUGGGGAACCAGCGUUCCAGGGGAGCAGGAGGAAAGAAGGGAGGAGCAUCCUCCAAGCUCGGCAGCAGUUGAGGGCGGAGCAUAGCUUGUGAGCUCAGGGAAUCAGACUGACUCUGUCCUCCUGUGGUGGACUUCACUGCUCCAAAUUUCUCCACACGUGUAAUUAGGGAAGCACACCUACCUUGUGGUUCUUAAAGGUCUGAGCCGGCGGGAAAGUGUCCCCAACGAUCCACCCUCAGGACUACGGUUGCCUCCCAGGCGUACUGACACAGACCUUAGUGGCCUGUCCUCUGUACAGCAAGGAGGCCAAGACUCCAAUUCCCAGCAUCUAGAAGCUGGAAGGGAUGAAAAUGGGCAAAUCCCAGACUUUUGGCAGUCACUUGGGUACCACGUCAACGAACUCGCCCCGUUGUGCUGGUUUGAUGGAGAUGUCAUAGUAAAAUGCCACGGUUUGUGCCUUCAACAAGACUACGGUCCUGUAGUCUUAUAGUCUCCAAGUUCAUGAUAGAGGUGUCACCGGGGCUUUUAUUGCUUGAGACCCUUCUCAUUGCCUCCCUCUUCUUUCUGUGUCUUUACAGAGCCUCCGUCUUAAUGUGUCUGUGUGCUACUCAACACAGGGCACACAGAGUUAAGUGUCCACCAUAACGACCUCAUUUUUACCUUACCUUCAGAUAGGUCACUUUCUGGAUACAAGGCAUUAAGACUUCAAACUAUGAGCUUUAGGGUCUCAACUCAGCACAUAUCACCUAUGCUACUACUUAUAUAUUAUUUUCUUUAAACCAAUGUUUCUUAUCUUUUCAUAAAAGAGUACCCAGGCAGUAAGACCCACAAAAAAAUGUUUUCCGGCAUCCACACCUUCUAAACCAGCGAAGUUCUCUGCAAGGGCAAUCUUGAACUUUCAGGGCUGCAAGAACUUAAAUGUGCAUAGAGUGAAGACGACAGUCGUGAGCAUUACCAAGGUACCUGCUCUUUCAGAUGCAAACGCGCACUAACAAAUGUGUUCUAAAAACACAAGGCAGACUUCCAUGCACAGGUAAGAGCUGGCAUAUCAAAAAUGGCAAUUGCUUGUCUUAGUUUUGCUUCCUGUUGCUGUGACAAAAUACUGUGAUCCACAGUUCCAGGUUACAGCUCACAAAAGUCACAGCAGCGGGACCUGGAGGGAGUUGGCCGUAUCACAUCCAUAAACAAGAAUAAAGUGUAAUGAAUACAUUCAUACUCAGACAAUCUCUGUCAGAACACGGUCAAAGGAAUGACCCGUGGUGAACAAUGCCUGGGGGAACUGUGAGAGAGGCUCCAGGAAAAAAAGGCAGAGGGCCUUUUACCUCAGGUGCAUUUUGUUCCCUGGAUUGUUCUCAGACAUGAUUCCACGCCUCCUGUGACGAGCAUUUACCUUUAAUUCAUAAGAUAUGUUCAUUUUUGUUGUUGGAUGUCAGAACACAGCUAUAGAACGCAGUCUGGUCAGUGUGCUCUGAAUCUGGACUUGGCCUUCUGUCUUGCUUUCAUGCCUUCCCAGAUAGAAUCUAUAGUACGUGCCAGGCAACUGGAUUUCAAGUGCUGUGUCCUGAGAAAAUUCCAGGAAAAGGCUGCUCUGUUAAUAUUUAGUGUGUGCAUACUGGCCUUUAUUUACAUGUUUUCUGAACUCAAACAGCCUUCCUUAAAUCGUUGCUCUCUUUUACAUCCAUGCAUAAAAGCACACUGAAACUGAAGAAACGCUCUCUACGGCGUUAGACUGUGGUCCGCCCCGUUCUUUCAGGUCCUCAGAUCCCAGGUCCAGCAGACAAGAUCUGCACAGGUCAGCGGAAAGGUUGACAAACCACACUCUUUUUUUUAAGAUGAAUUUGUUUUUAUUCUUUCUGUGUGUAAUUUUGCUUGCAUCCAUGUAUGUGUACCAUGUACAUUCACGGUGUGUUGGGAUGUGAGGCCCAGUGUAACCUCCUGAGCCUGGCUAGAGUUUGGCCACCUGUCUCUGACCUGUAACCUCCACGUGGGGGUGACUCAGCCAGAGAUGAUGUAAGAUUGUCCCUUGCCUAGCUACCUGCCAGCUUGGUGGAACAUUAUUGACCCUUACUCCUCAAAUCACCUUACCCUAUCCUAUGAUUCCCAUCUCCUACCUCAGCCCUGUAUAAGUUCAUACCUGUUAAAAUAGAUUGAGAUCCUGCUUCGACAGACUCCAGACUCAGUGUGUAUCUCCCCCACCCCCAUAACUAAUGGGGGUAGGGUCUGAGUCAUUGACACUCACCAUCAUGCUCAGCCCCAGGAAGAGACAGGCUGGACCAGCCCUUCCCCAGAUCUACCUGCCAGAGGACCCGGCAGCGGUGCCCAGGGACACAGAAGAGGAUGCUGGGUCCCCUUGAACUGGAGUUACAGAUGCUUGGGGGUCACCAUGCAGGUGCCUGGCACUGAGUCUGAAUCCUCUGCAAGAACAACACAGAGCAAUCUCUCUAGGCCACUUCUUCACUCUUACACAGUUCAGGGUCUCCUGUCUAUGGGAUGGUACCACCCGCAGUGGGCUGAUCUUCCCACUUCUCACCAUACUCAAAAUUAUCCCCCACAGCCAACCGAAUCUAAAUAAUUCUAGAAACUUUGUUCCUAGGAAGCUCUAGACUGUGUCAAAUUGACAGUUAUAAUCAGUCAUCACAGUGUUGUAUAAAAAAAAUCAAAAGAUACUGGGUAUGGUGGCACAUGCCUUCAAAUGCAGCACUCAGGAGGCAGAGGCAGGUGGAUCUCUGUGGGUUCCAGGCCAGCCAUGGCUACAUAGUGAGACUCUGUCUCAGAAAACAAAAUCAAAGGAAAUAAAGAUAUUCCUCUGUGGAGGUCAAGAUCAAAGUCAAAUCUAGGUGUGAUGGUUAAACUUGCUUGUCAGCUUGACUGGGUCUGAGACACACUGAAAGGGCAAGCCACUGGGCACUCGUGCAAGAGAUUCUCUGGGUGCUAUUUGAAGUGGAAAGAAUCACCUUUAAUGUGGGAAGCACCUUAAGGAGCAGCCCAGAUACAAAGGAGAUGGAAGAAGGAAACUUUGCUUUUUGCCAACUUGCUUCUUUUCCGGAUGACAAGUUCCUCUACCCUGUGGCUGCUACUACUGAUUCUUUUGCUGAUAAUAAAAUCAGUUUCUUUCAGCUUCUAAAGUAGACCAAAGGCCAGCAGCUCUUCAGGAAUCCUCCAGGCCUUCAGCACUAUAUAGCCACAGCUGCCACAUCCAGACUCAUGAGAGCCUACUGAAUUCUUGGCCUCCCCAUCAUGGAAUAGCCAUUUUUGAACUACCUAGACUACACUAUAUAAGACCAUCUAAUAAAUCACCUUUUAAUAUAUA